rnacentral:rRNA from 1 species
GACGAACGCUGGCGGCGUGCCUAAUACAUGCAAGUCGAGCGAAUGGAAGGGAGCUUGCUCCCUGAAGUUAGCGGCGGACGGGUGAGUAACACGUGGGCAACCUGCCUGUAAGACUGGGAUAACUUCGGGAAACCGGAGCUAAUACCGGAUACGUUCUUUUCUCGCAUGAGGAAAGAUGGAAAGAUGGUUUCGGCUAUCACUUACAGAUGGGCCCGCGGCGCAUUAGCUAGUUGGUGGGGUAAUGGCCCACCAAGGCGACGAUGCGUAGCCGACCUGAGAGGGUGAUCGGCCACACUGGGACUGAGACACGGCCCAGACUCCGACGGGAGGCAGCAGUAGGGAAUCUUCCGCAAUGGACGAAAGUCUGACGGAGCAACGCCGCGUGAGCGAAGAAGGCCUUCGGGUCGUAAAGCUCUGUUGUCAGGGAAGAACAAGUGCCAGAGUAACUGCUGGCACCUUGACGGUACCUGACCAGAAAGCCACGGCUAACUACGUGCCAGCAGCCGCCGUAA